AUUGAACGCUGGCGGCAUGCCUUACACAUGCCAGUCGAACGGUAACGGGCCUUCGGGUGCCGACGAGUGGCGAACGGGUGAGUAAUACAUCGGAACGUGCCCGAUCGUGGGGGAUAACGAGGCGAAAGCUUUGCUAAUACCGCAUACGAUCUACGGAUGAAAGCAGGGGACCGCAAGGCCUUGCGCGGACGGAGCGGCCGAUGGCAGAUUAGGUAGUUGGUGGGAUAAAAGCUUACCAAGCCGACGAUCUGUAGCUGGUCUGAGGGGAUGAUCAGCCACACUGGGACUGAGACACGGCCCAGACUCCUACGGGAGGCAGCAGUGGGGAAUUUUGGACAAUGGGCGCAAGCCUGAUCCAGCCAUGCCGCGUGCAGGAUGAAGGCCUUCGGGUUGUAAACUGCUUUUGUACGGAACGAAAAGCCUUCUUUUAAUACAGGAGGGUCAUGACGGUACCGUAAGAAUAAGCACCGGCUAACUACGUG
rnacentral:rRNA from 1 species